CCAACACUCAAAUUUGAUCCAAAGAACUUCAUAUAAAUUUAUAAUUGCAGUCACUUCAACCCUAGUAGCAAGGACCGGCGCCUGUUUUCCAAAUGGAGGCAAUCUCUUUCUCCCUCUAACUUAUUUUUCAUCGGUCCAUGAGGGAAUUGCAAAUUUCGGUUCAUCGACUAUUAUUGUAUAAGGAUACAAUGGAACUCGAUAAUCUUGUAUUAUAUUUCUACGAUGCGUUCUAUAAUGUUCAACCUACAUCUCAACCGACCGUAAUUUCCUUAAUUAAGAUGAGUAUAAGGAUCCACAGUAAAAGAGAAGUACACAUUUUUUUACAUCUAGUGUUGCAUGGGAAAUUUUACUUCUUUCGAUAUUAUAAACAAGUUCAUGCUACCACACAUAUGUGAUUGAUGUGUCACUUCCAAGGGUGGACAUUAGUUUGCAGAACAUGAGGAAUCACAUAUGUCAUAUGGGAAAGAAAAGGAGGCACAUGAAUACCUCCCAAAAGUCCUAAUGAAAUCUAAUGGCCAUCAUAUACCUUAGGUGCAACCAAAGUCUAGUACUUCAAGUUCUACAACUGAAAGAAAACGCAAGAAAUCAAAAGUCUCGAAUACUGAAGAACACAUAAGUAAGAAAAUGAAGUUUGAGGCUGAAGCUCAAGAUAAUAAUUGAUUAAUUAUUGAAUUAAUCAAUUUUGAAUAUAAAACAAUUGAUUAUUAUGAACUAUUAUUAGUACAAACUAUGUUUUUAUCAUUGUUAAACAAUACAUAAUUAGUGAUUUAAUAUGCAUUAUCUUAUGUUUCUAA